UUAAGGCGCCCAUGGCCUAAUGGAUAAGGCGCUUGACUUCUAAUCAAGCGAUUGUGGGUUCGAGUCCCACUGGGCGUGU
rnacentral:tRNA from 1 species